AGUUCGAGUUUCUCGCUCUCAGAAACUGAAAACCUAGAACGAAGGGAAAAAUAAGUACACUCCAACAGUUUCAAGUUCAUCAUUAUACUACGAUAUGAUACUAUCAGCUGAAAAGGUCAACACUCUAUCAGGAACCACUACAAAAAAAUAACAACCCACUCAAUUCCACAAUUACCGUCACUGAUGAGUGGACGAUCGAGAUGAUGGGGAUGGCGAAUUAACUCGGGGCCCGCACCAUUAGAGGAGUUAAUUAAUGGAAAAUGCUCAACGCGGCGCGGGCAACAGGUCCCCAGACUUGGCAACGCCGCCACCAGUUAAAAUGUAAACAGCAGAGCGUGGUACAGUCGAUUGCAAAAAUUUCUUCACAAUAAACAACGUUAAGUAUUUUA